rnacentral:rRNA from 1 species
AUUGAACGCUGGCGGCAGGCCUAACACAUGCAAGUCGAACGAGUGGCGGACGGGUGAGUAAUGUCUGGGACACUGCCUGAUGGAGGGGGAUAACUACUGGAAACGGUAGCUAAUACCGCAUACCAUCGGAUGUGCCCAGAGGGGAUUAGUGAGUAGGUGGGGUAAAGGCUCACCUAGGCGACGAUCCCUAGCUGGUCUGAGAGGAUGACCAGCCACACUGAAACGUGGACACGGUCCAGACUCCAAAGGGAGGCAGCAGUGGGGAAUAUGGCACAAUGGGCGCAAGCCUAAUGAAGCCAUGCGGCGUGUAUGAAGAAAACCUUCGGGUUGUGAAGUACUUUCAGCGGGGAGGCGUUACCCGCAGAGGAAGCACCGGCUAACUCCGUGCCAGAAGCCGCGGUAAUAC